AGCUGACUGCGAGUUCAUGGAGCGGGAUGCCUUGGGAAGGGAUAGGACGUCUCCACCUGAGCGAGGAGAGGCACCUGGAGCAGAACGGAGGUGUAAUGCUGAGGAGCUGCAGGGGAGAGCAAGGCUUUGGUCACUUUGGAGUUGGAGAUCUUGAGCCAGGGAAGAGAUCCCAGCGAGAGGAGAAGAGAUGUCCCCAGCCUGACAGCUCCUUCCCGGCUGCGCUCUGCCCGCGCUCUGCCUGAUGUCUCCGUGUUCUCCACGAGGGACCCAACCUGCCAUGGCCCCAGCAAGAGGCAGCAUUGGCUGCUGGAUGUGGAGGGGUUCUGCAUUGCUUCGCACCUGUGGGGAGGGAGCCAGGGGAGGGGAAGUCUGGCAAAAAUCCUACAUAACUCUUGUACAUCACCUCCAGGACCCAAAUACCCCUGGGUAGAGAAUAUUUUUUAUAUAUAUAUAUAUAUAGUUCUAUAUAUAGAGAGAGCGCAAUAUAUAUAUAGUGAGCACUGUCCCAGCUGGGUGCAGGGAUGUUGGUGGGAGCAGGAGGGAGGUCUGAGCAGGACGGAUGCUGUGUUUAGGGGCUCUGCUCAUGGAGCAGAGCUUGGCCUAUGCUGUCUGUGUGUGUGUGAUGGACUGACCGUGGGUUGACCACGCCUGGUCCAGGCAGCGUUCCAUUGCACUGUAAGAAAAAUUCACUGUAAUUCUCCCCUAUUAAAAUCGACCCCACCCCAUGCACUGUUGCAAAUAAACACUCCUUUCUGCAAAAGCUAGUGUGUGAU
rnacentral:lncRNA from 1 species